UACGUAGGGUGCAAGCGUUAAUCGGAAUUACUGGGCGUAAAGCGUGCGCAGGCGGUUGUGCAAGACAGAUGUGAAAUCCCCGAGCUUAACUUGGGAAUUGCGCUCGAAACUACGUGGCUCGAGUGUGGCAGAGGAAGGUGGAAUUCCACGUGUAGCGGUGAAAUGCGUAGAGAUGUGGAGGAACACCGAUGGCGAGGGCAGCCUUCUGGGCCAACACUGACGCUCAUGCACGAAAGCGUGGGGAGCAAACAGG
rnacentral:rRNA from 1 species